rnacentral:lncRNA from 1 species
UUCACCAAAAGAGAAAUCAAAAAUAAUUUAGAUUUUAUUUCUAGUUGGAAACUAUAAUCUAGAGUGAUAAAAAAAAUAAUAAAAUGAAGAAAUAUAAAAAACUUGCCUGAGAAUAAAAAUAUAAAUGUAAAUCAAAGAAAUCAUUUUAUAUUGUAUUUUCUAUUGGAAAUUUAUAGUAUUUAAAGUAAAAAAGUUUGCCAGCAAAAGAGCAAGGAAAA